GAUGAACGCUGGCGGCGUGCCUAAUACAUGCAAGUCGAGCGAACGGACGAGAAGCUUGCUUCUCUGAUGUUAGCGGCGGACGGGUGAGUAACACGUGGAUAACCUACCUAUAAGACUGGGAUAACUUCGGGAAACCGGAGCUAAUACCGGAUAAUAUUUUGAACCGCAUGGUUCAAAAGUGAAAGACGGUCUUGCUGUCACUUAUAGAUGGAUCCGCGCUGCAUUAGCUAGUUGGUAAGGUAACGGCUUACCAAGGCAACGAUGCAUAGCCGACCUGAGAGGGGGAUCGGCAACACUGGAAGUGAGACACGGUACAGACUACUACGGGAGGCAGCAGUAGGGAAUCUUCCGCAAUGGGCGAAAGCAUGACGGAGCAACGCCGCGUGAGUGAUGAAGGUCUUCGGAUCGUAAAACUCUGUUAUUAGGGAAGAACAUAUGUGUAAGUAACUGUGCACAUAUUGACGGUACCUAAUCAGAAAGCCACGGCUAACUACGUG
rnacentral:rRNA from 1 species